ensembl:snoRNA
CUCAAUAUGUGUUUCCUCACACAUGAUGAUUAGGUUUUCACUAGCAUGUGUGAGAGUGCCUCCCUCAAAAUGUGUUACGACAUCAGGAUGUUACCCAUCUGACA